CAAGAGCGUAUAUUAAAGUUGUUGCAGUUAAAAAGCUCGUAGUUGGAUUUCUGGUAUAAUGCGCCUGGCCCGCGACCGUUAGGUCUGUGAGUGCCGGUGCGCGUUUGCCAUCCUUCUAGAAAACGUUUCUACCCUUCACUGGGCUGGACUCGCGAUCUAGAUCUUUUACUUUGAAAAAAUUAGAGUGUUAAAGCAGGCUUUUGCUAUGAAUACAUUAGCAUGGAAUAAUAAUCUAGGACUUCGGUUCUAUUUUGUUGGUUUCUAGAAUUGAAGUAAUGAUUGAUAGGGACAGUGGGGGUGCUAGUAUUGGCCGGCCAGAGGUGAAAUUCUUGGAUUCGGUCAAGACUAACUUAUGCGAAAGCAUUCACCAAGGAUGUCUUCAUUAAUCAAGAACGAAAGUUAGGGGAUCGAAGACGAUUAGAUACCA
rnacentral:rRNA from 1 species